GAUGAACGCUGGCGGCGUGCCUAAUACAUGCAAGUCGAGCGAACAGACGAGGAGCUUGCUCCUCUGACGUUAGCGGCGGACGGGUGAGUAACACGUGGAUAACCUACCUAUAAGACUGGGAUAACUUCGGGAAACCGGAGCUAAUACCGGAUAAUAUAUUGAACCGCAUGGUUCAAUAGUGAAAGACGGUUUUGCUGUCACUUAUAGAUGGAUCCGCGCUGCAUUAGCUAGUUGGUAAGGUAACGGCUUACCAAGGCAACGAUGCGUAGCCGACCUGAGAGGGGGAUCGGCCACACUGGAGCUGGGACAGGGUCCAGACUCCUGCGGGAGGCAGCAGUAGGGAAUCUUCCGCAAUAGGCGAAAGCCUGGCGGAGCGACGCCGCGUGAGAGAUAAAGGUCUUCGGAUCGGAAAACUCUGUUAUUAGGGAAGAACAAAUGUGUAAGUAACUAUGCACGUCUUGACGGUACCUAGUCAGAAAGCCACGGCUAACUACGUG
rnacentral:rRNA from 1 species